rnacentral:rRNA from 1 species
GGCGGACGGGUGAGUAAUGCGUAGGAAUUUACCUCAAAGCGGGGGAUAGCCCGGAGAAAUCCGGAUUAAUACCGCAUGUGCUCUACGGAGGAAAGCGGGCCUCUACUUGUAAGCUCGCACUUUGAGAUAAGCCUACGUCGGAUUAGCUUGUUGGUGGGGUAAAAGCCUACCAAGGCGACGAUCCGUAGCUGGUUUGAGAGGAUGAUCAGCCACACUGGGACUGAGACACGGACCAG